rnacentral:rRNA from 1 species
AUUGCACAAUGGGCGAAAGCCUGAUGCAGCGACGCCGCGUGAGGGAUGACGGCCUUCGGGUUGUAAACCUCUUUCAGCAGGGAAGAAGCGAAAGUGACGGUACCUGCACAAGAAGCCCCUGCUAACUACGUUCCAGCAGCCGCGGUAAUACGUAGGGUGCGAGCGUUGUCCGGAAUUAUUGGGCGUAAAGAGCUCGUAGGCGGUCUGUCGCGUCUGCUGUGAAAAAUCGGGGCUUAACCCCGAGCCUGCAGUGGGUACGGGCAGACUAGAGUGUGGUAGGGGAGACUGGAAUUCAUGGUGUAGCGGUGGAAUGCGCAGAUAUCAGGAGGAACACCGAUGGCGAAGGCAGGUCUCUGGGCCACAACUGACGCUGAGGAGCGAAAGCGUGGGGAGCGAACAGG